GUGAUGGUAACUAGCCAAAGAGGAGGACGAAAUUGCCGAGGUAUAUGAAUCCCUAUAUACAUAAACAUGAUUUGAAUUCUCUACCUAUCAACAAUAGGUAUAAUUAAUGCAUGUUUUCUAUCCAUCUAGAUCCUUGACGAGGCCUAAAUGGAAACAAGGUGGGAAGAAAAAGUUGGAGGGGCAUACCAUCAUCAUAGAAGUGGAUGAUGAAGGCACACCAAUUGCUCCCUCCAGUGUGUGUAUGACAUUGGU
rnacentral:lncRNA from 1 species